UAACCAUAUGAGUGAUUCACAAAGAACGCGGUUUUUUUUUUGCGUUGAACUAUUUUAACCUUUUACACUUAAAUUAGAACGACGUGUCAUGAGCCAAAAGCUGCGGAAGACGCGCGCGCAACGUGCAUGUUUACAUUACAUUUACAUGUAUGCUUUUGGCAGACGCCUUAUAGAAAGCGACUUACAAAAAAAUUAACUUAAGCAAUUCGUCAAAGAGCCAACAGUAUUCGUAAUAUACAAUGCCAGUAAAGUAGGCCUACAUAGAAGCAGCCAUGAUCACCAUACACCUUGAGAAGGCCAUAUUCAGUUUACUGGAUGACCAAUAUGGCCGGGUCUCUCAAAGAUUGUACUUUAUUGCAUUAUUGCUCCUUUUAAUGACCACUAGAGGGUGCUGUGACGCCAAAAACUGGGGAAAAUUUGUCUAAAAUGUGUCUAAAUCCUGGUCUGGUUACUCUCCAGACCAUGUUUUUGAAAGCAUACCUCUACUGUGAGUGGAAAAAAUAUAAGUUUACCAUGCCACAUCUGUAGAGUUAUAGUCCUUUAAAGUGUGUCUAGAACACUGUCAACCUUACACCUGGGUAUAAUUUAUCGUUCCUGUUUCACGGCCCGCAGACCUUUGAUGUUCCUCUUUCUACUGUACUUCUCCGCCUGCUGUGUUCUCGUAAAGACCUGUGAUAUUUCUUGAAGUGAAAGGGAGGACGCAGAAUGAAGAUUAAUAGGACCAUCAGGAUGCAUUUACCGUCUGGAUUGGCCUUUGGAAAAAUGGAUGGGCCUUGAGCACCAAAUCAGCAUUUUAGCUGUUUCAUUUCUGAAGGAUCAUGUGACAUUGAAGACUGGAGUAAUGGAUAAUUGAUGUCAGUUACACUUUAUUUUAUGGUGAGUUACAUUGUACUUACUCAAAUAAGUACUGAGCUCUACUAAUUAACUACAUGUCGCUAUUGACGAUUGACGGCUUUUGUUAGCUUUACUUCAAAAAAAUCUCUUCCAAUGCAAAAGUUAUGAGAACAUCUCAUACUGUAAUCUGUCUCCUUGUGCGUGUUCUGUGUUAUUAUGGAAUGAUUUAUACAAAGAGAAAAGGUAAAUGGACCUUGACACAGUGUUGUUGCUCAGAACAGUGAAGAACACUGUGGUCCUGCAAUAUCUCAAGUGUUUAAUUUUAUUACUUAAAUGUUUCAGUCAUGCAAAAUAUUACAAAAGCUUUCAUUUUUAAUGGUGCUUUCCAGAAACAGAGACUAAAUAACUUCUUAGAAUCUUCCUUUGAGAUCUCUCUCUUCCUCUCUCUCAGUUUUGAGCCUGUCCCUGGAACAAGAACUAGGUCUGAUAUCUCCUCAGGAGACACGCUGCUUAGCUUCCUCCACAUAAAAGUUACGGCAGAAGCAUUAGCUUCAUAAUGCUGUCUGUGUGAUUGGGUUUGCAGUGUACCGUGAGCACAGCUGGAUCUGUUUAUGGGCCUACUAAAUAAUGGUAACACAACAUCCAAGCAUUCGAGAGCAUCAUUCAUGGGCAUUAAGUACAAGGAUAACAUAUUUCUUGAUGUUCUCCAUUUCUAAAGUCCUCUGCUUUCAAGAACCACAGACUCCCCACUUAAAAGAUAUCAGGAUCAGCUUAAAAUCCUCCACAUGCGUGUCUCCAUGUCUGUUAGCAAAAAUGUCUGUUUUACUGUUGCUAUGUGGCCCGAUCAUUAGAUUUAACACAGCACUUCCCCUUAAUUAUGCCCUAAUUGCACAGUUGUGUCAGCUUGCAUGCACACGAAAACACACUCACGCCCGUGUAUCUUUACCACAUCGGCCUCCAAAUACUUUGCAGAAUACUCUGCAGCAUCUGAAAGCAGUGAAAUGUGGGCACUAUUUCAGAGACAAGAAUUACUGGAGGACAGCAUGCCGCCUUAAUUCGACCAAGUACUGUUUUCCCCUAAAUGCUCCAAAGAAAGCCUAGAGGAUCACCAGAUGGAAGAGAGAAAAACACUUCCAAAAUUGGACAUGGUUAGGACAUUUGGAACAAUUUUUAGCAGUCCAUGUCCCUUUAUUUACAAGAAUUAAUUAAACCACAAAUUUAUUUUUUUAAUUAUAAAGAAUAGAUUCAUUAAAGAUGGCAACUUACUCUUAGCAGCAUGGAAAAAUAUAGCUUUUGGUUCCCAAUGUCACUGCAGAAAUGUACUAAACACAGUCAGCCAUGAUUCUGUGAGCAAAAAAAGUGUCUUAAUAAAAUACACGUUACUGAGAUAAAACAAGUAAUACUUUGGCCUAUAUGUAAGAUUUAUGUAUUUGAAUUGCAUAUAAAAUUUCUAUCCAUUUGGAUUACACCAUUUCAACAUAAACUAAUAAACUUAAUGUGAUACAUAUUGGCAGUCAUACAUAAAUGAAGCAUGUAAGAAACAGGUAAAAAUUACUGCACUGCUAAUAAACAAUUAUAGGUUUGCAUAUUUAUCAUCAGUCAAUCCAGUUUUUGUUUCAAUCUCAUACAUCUUAAAUAAUAAUUAGGUAACACUUUAGUAUAGGGAACACAUAUUCACUAUUAACUACAACUUUUCCCCCAAUAAACUCCUAAUUUACUGCUUAUUAGUAGUUAGUAAGGUAAUUGUUAAUUUUAGGUAUUGGGUAG